UACGUAGGUGGCAAGCGUUGUCCGGAAUUAUUGGGCGUAAAGAGCUCGUAGGCGGCUUGUCGCGUCGACUGUGAAAACCCGUGGCCCAACUGCGGGCCUGCAGUCGAUACGGGCAGGCUAGAGUUCGGUAGGGGAGACUGGAAUUCCUGGUGUAGCGGUGAAAUGCGCAGAUAUCAGGAGGAACACCGGUGGCGAAGGCGGGUCUCCGGGCCGAUACUGACGCUGAGGAGCGAAAGCGUGGGGAGCGAACAGG
rnacentral:misc_RNA from 1 species